CGGUACGGCGAGUGACCAGGGAAAAGCCCAGCACCGAAGACUGUGGCCAGUUGGCUACUAGUCAAUGUGGUGUUCAGGUUGUUCCGGCGGAGUCGCUGCUCCACCCCAAGUCCAUGAAUGAGUAUGGUAAAUCAACAUGGCCCACAGAGGGUGACAGGCCCGUGGGGGUGGAGAUCAGGCAGGCCAGUGACGCCCUGGAUAAACCUUGGAGUCGGGUUGUUUGUGAUUGCAGCCCAAAGUGGGUGGUAAACUCCAUCUAAGGCUAAAUACUAGCACGAGUCCGAUAGCAAACAAGUACCGUGAGGGAAAGUUGAAAAGUACUUUGAAGAGAGAGUAAACAGUGCGUGAAACCGAUCAGAGGUAAGCGGGUGGAGUUGAACUGCACGCUCUGAGAAUUCAGCCGGUGAGUGUGGUUUGAGCUUGGUCAAGUCAGUUGGACUUUGUGGUCCGAGGAGCACUUAGCAAGUGCUGUGGGCCGCGAAUGUUCUUCGGGCUGACUCGCCGGUGCACUUUCUCAGAGUGGUCACCACGACCGGCAUUGCUGUCUGGCUGGUGGGGUUAAACCGGUUUUGCAUGGUCCCCGUGGCUCUGCUUGAUCGGGCUGGCAGGUAGCUCGUUGGCUUGCUCGCGCUUCGCCGUGAGCGUGGUCUUCGAGUGUAAUCAGCUGACCACAUCAGUGCUGUGCAGUAUGUCGGAGACGGCGGCUAGUGCGAGUGCGUGCAUAGCUGGUUGGCGUGUCCGGGUUUGGUUGUUACGUUGCCUGUUUGUGCAGGCCUGAUGAUGGCUCGGAUUCGUUCGGCUGGCUGUUGCGUGCUCGCAUUAUUUGGGGCCGAUAGUCUGUGGUGUAGUGGUAACUAUCCACCUGACCCGUCUUGAAACACGGACCAAGGAGAGUAACAUGUGCGCGA
rnacentral:rRNA from 1 species